rnacentral:rRNA from 1 species
CDSCUGUGGAGGAGCCUGCGUUUGAUUAGCUAGUUGGUGGGGUAAAGGCCUACCAAGGCGAUGAUCAAUAGCUGGUUUGAGAGGAUGAUCAGCCACACUGGGACUGAGACACGGCCCAGACUCCUACGGGAGGCAGCAGUGGGGAAUAUUGGACAAUGGGGGCAACCCUGAUCCAGCAAUGCCGCGUGUGUGAAGAAGGUCUUCGGAUUGUAAAGCACUUUCGACGGGGACGAUGAUGACGGUACCCGUAGAAGAAGCCCCGGCUAACUUCGUGCCAGCAGCCGCGGUAAUACGAAGGGGGCUAGCGUUGCUCGGAAUGACUGGGCGUAAAGGGCGUGUAGGCGGUUUGUACAGUCAGAUGUGAAAUCCCCGGGCUUAACCUGGGAGCUGCAUUUGAUACGUGCAGAC